UGUUUAGCUACACUCGCAGUCUGUGAGGGCGUAGUCACGGCUGUCAAACAGUCCAAAUACUUCAUACUCAAUUGCUUGACAUUUCACGGCUUCUUCAACCAAAAAUUUGCUCGAUUAUUCCAUAGAGUUUGUCAUUUCAUUGUCAUAAUAUCUCCAUCUCAUUAUGUCUCGAGACAUCAUUUUUGACGACUGUCUAACAUGUGGAUGUUCAGUAGAAUUGUCCCUAUUGGGAAACCAUGUGUCCAAUUGCAUAAUUCUAAAUGAGCGGUCGGUUUCUGAAGUCCAAAGGAGAAAGAAAUUAGAUGUGGACGUAGACAAAGUGAAACAAUAUCUAGGUAAACAUAUCAUUUAGUUCCGUCUCUAUAAACUGGAGAAUCCUUCAAGCUAAUGCUUUUCAAAAUACAUACAAUAAGACAACGACAAAAUGCCCCUUUAAUGCAACGCAUUCAUCGAAGAGUGUACAAGGUUUGUGCUCCGAUUUCGCUAUGGCACAUUGAUGGACACCACAAAUUAGACCGAUACUCAUUCAUAAUCCAUGGAGCCAUCGACGGAUUUUCCCGUUUGAUCGUAUAUACAUAUCAUUGGAAAAUAUUAACUGUUCCGAAACAGUUAUUGGAUUAUUUGAAAAGGAGUUUAGGAAUGGGGCUAUCCAGCUAGUGUAAGGUCUGAUUUGGGAGGGGAAACGUACUAGUAGCGGAUUUCAUGAUAAACGCUAGAGGAGUGGAUAAAAACGCGUUUAGAACUGGAAAGUCUGUACACAAUCAGAGAGUAGAGAGGCUCUGGAAAGACGUUAUAGAGCGCUGUACUAUAACUUUCAUGGAUAUUUUUGGAGAAAUGGAAACCGAAGGUGUACUAGACGUCGAUUCCAACCUAGAUAUUUUCUGUCUGCAUAUAGUGGCCACGAACCUCAUAUAACGGUCCUUAGAGACCUUUAAAGACUCAUGGAACUGCCAUCCACUUCGAACAGAAAAUCAUCGCUCACCAAUGCAACUUUAUCACGAUGGUUUGCAGCAUUUAAAAACCCAGAAAGAUAAAGGAGCCAUAGAAGGCGAAGUUACUGAGCUGAUUCAGGGAGAGAAAUUAAAACCGAUUUCGAAGUGGUCUGGUUACAAGAAUACCUUCUAUCGUUGUGUAAUUGAUCAAUUUGGAGUGAAAAUUUCCGAAGAGGAACUACUCUGCAUUGUUGAUCUUAUCAUUCCAGCCACCAUUGAAAUUUGGAAUGUAAAAAAGAAAUUCAUUCAGCUUAAACAAUUUGUUCUCCAAAAUUUUGAUGAUUAGAAGUAAGUCAACCGAAGACUGAAAUAAAUGUUGUAAUGUACGGCUUGCCGUCACAGAUUGCA
rnacentral:lncRNA from 1 species